rnacentral:piRNA from 1 species
UAAACAGUAGAACUGAAAGACAGAGAGCC